rnacentral:rRNA from 1 species
AGUGAACGCUGGCGGUAGGCCUAACACAUGCAAGUCGAACGGCAGCACAGUAAGAGCUUGCUCUUACGGGUGGCGAGUGGCGGACGGGUGAGGAAUACAUCGGAAUCUACUUUUUCGUGGGGGAUAACGUAGGGAAACUUACGCUAAUACCGCAUACGACCUACGGGUGAAAGCAGGGGAUCUUCGGACCUUGCGCGAUUGAAUGAGCCGAUGUCGGAUUAGCUAGUUGGCGGGGUAAAGGCCCACCAAGGCGACGAUCCGUAGCUGGUCUGAGAGGAUGAUCAGCCACACUGGAACUGAGACACGGUCCAGACUCCGACGGGAGGCAGCAGUGGGGAAUAUUGGACAAUGGGCGCAAGCCUGAUCCAGCCAUACCGCGUGGGUGAAGAAGGCCUUCGGGUUGUAAAGCCCUUUUGUUGGGAAAGAAAAGCAGCAGGUUAAUACCCCGCUGUUCUGACGGUACCCAAAGAAUAAACACCGGCGAACUUCGU